AACGUAGGUACCGAGCGUUAUCCGGAUUUACUGGGCGUAAAGCGCGUUCAGGCGGUUUGGCAAGUCGGGCAUGAAAUCUCUCGGCUCAACCGGGAGAGGUUGUCCGAUACUGCUGGACUGGAGGGCAGUAGAGGGUGGUGGAAUUCCACGUGUAGCAGUGAAAUGCGUAGAGAUGUGGAGGAACACCGAUGGCGAAGGCAGCCUCCUGGGCCAGCACUGACGCUCAUGCACGAAAGCGUGGGGAGCAAACAGG
rnacentral:rRNA from 1 species